GGGCUGGCUUUAGCUCAGCGGUUACUUCGUGCUUAACAAUCACACUUACGAGUGAGGUUCGAUACCCGCGGGCGCUCUCCAGCUCUUUU
rnacentral:vault_RNA from 12 species